rnacentral:lncRNA from 1 species
GUAUUAUUAGUUACGCCUUAUGUGUUACUUUAUCUGUUUUAAAUAUUUUGAUUAUAUUUUUUGAGUAAUAAGUAAGUUACUGUUUUGUAUUUGUAUUGUUUUUGCGAGACUAAUUCUAUUGUCCUUUGGUGUUUAAUAUGAAUCAUGCUCAAGUUAAUUAGGUCUUAUUUGUUAAUGUUCCUUAUGUUUGUAUUCUCUCUUGAAAUUGACUUAUUUAAUUUUAAGUAAUGAGUGAGUGCUAUUUUGCAUUUGUUUUGUUUUGCGAGAAUUUAUGCUAUUACUAAAUGACUCGAUUGGAUGUACCUCUUAAUGCAUGCCUAUGCCUAGGUACUUUCAAAUACAUUUUUCUACAGCCUUUACUUAUUGAGGUACGUGACCAUUUGGCUUUAAAUGUUGUUUGAUCUUGGACUGUAAUUAACUUGAGUUUGAUUAUCCCGGUUUCAACUUAAGCUCAAGUAAUAGGUAUUAUUAGUUAACGCCUUUAUGUGUUACUUUAUCUCUUUCAAAUAUUGUUUGAUUUGAUUUUUGAGUAAUAAGUAGUGACUUUUUGUCUUUGUAUGUUUGGGGGCUAGGACUAUUGCUAUGACUUUGGUGUUUAAAUUAUCAGCUCAAGUUACUUAGUAUUCUUAGUUAAUGCCUUCUGUUGGUAAUUUGUCUUUUUUAAAUUAUACUGAUUUAAAUUUUAAUUAUGAGUAGUGACUAUUUUGCAUUUGUUUUGUUUUGCGAGGACUUAUGCUAUUGACUAAGGACUGCGAUUGGAAUGUACCCGUAAGUUGCGAUCCAUGCCUAGGUACUUUCAAAUAAUAUUUCCACAUUUUUAAAUAUUGAGGUAACUAACAUUUGCUUUAAUGUUUGUAUCUGUAUCUUGGACCGUAACUAACUUGAGUUUGAACUUCCCUGGGUUCCACUUUAACUCAAGUAAAUUAGGUAUUAUUAGUUAACGCUUUUGUGUUACUUUAUCUCUUUCAUAAUGUUGAUUUGAUUUUUGAGUAAUAAGUAGUGACUGUUUUGUAGUUUUAUAUUGUUUUUGCGUGAGGACGGGAAUAUAUUGACUUGGUGUUUAACAUGAUCAAGCUCAAGUUACUUAGGUAUUUAUUAGUUAAUGCCUUAUGUUUAAUUUGUCUGUUUGAAAUUAUACUGAUUUAAAUUUUAAGUAAUGAUAUGACUAUUUUGCAAUUUGUUUUGUUUUGUGAGGACUUCUGGUAUUGACCAAGGACUCGUUGGUGUACCUCGUUAAUUGCGAUGCCUAUGCCAAGUACUUUCAAUACAUAUUCGACACCUUUAAAUAUUGAGGUACCGUAACAUUUGCGUUAAAUGUUUUGUAUGUUUAAUCUUAGCCCGUAAAUUACUUGAGUUUGAAGUUCCUCGGGUUCACUUUAAAGCUCAAUGUAAAAUAGGUAUUGUUAGUUACCGCCUUUGUUGUACUUUAUCUUCUUCAAAUCAUGUUGAUUUGAAUUUUUUGCGUAGAAGUAGUGACUGUUUUGUAGUUCUAUUGUUUUGCGAGGACGAAUGCUAUUGAAUUUGUGUUUAACAGAUCAAGCUCAAGUUACUAGGUAUUAUAUUGAAUGCCUUUGUUGUAAUUUGUCUUUUUGAAAUUAUACUGAUUUAAAAUUUUUAAGUAAUGAGUAGUGGCUAUUUGCAUUGGUUUGUUUUGCGAGGACGUAUGCUAUUGACUAAAGGACUCGAUUGGUGUACCUCGUUAAUUGGCGAUGCCUAUGCCUAGGUUACUUUCAAAACAUUUUUGCACACUUUUAAAUAUUGAGGUACGUAACAUUUUGGGUCUUUUAAAUGUUGCAAUGAAUCUUGGACGUAAUUACUUGAUUUUGAACUUCCCCGGAUUCAACUUUAGCGCAAGCAAAUUUAGUAUUAUUAGUUAACGCUUUUGUGGUUACUUUUAUCUGUUUUAAAUAAGUUGAUUUAUAUUUUUGCGUAAUAAGUAGUUACUGUUUUGUUAUGGUAUUGUUUUGCGAGGACUAUGCUAUUGCUUUGGUGUUUAACAUGAUCAAGCACAAGUUCUUAGGUAUUUUAUUAAUGCCUUAUGUUGUAAUUGUCUUUUUGACAUUGUACUGAUUUAAAUUUAAGUAUGAGUAGUGACUAUUUUGCAUUUGUUUGUUUUGCGAGGACUUAUGCGAUUGACUAAAGGACUCGAUUGGAUGUACCUCGUUAAUUGCGAUGCCUAUGCCUAGGUACUUUCAAAUACAUAUUUCCACACUUUUAAAUAUUGAGGUACGUAACAUUUGCUUUAAAUGUUGUAUAUGUACUUGGACCGUAAUUAACUUGAGUUUGAUGUUUCCCGGUUCAACUUUAAGCUCUAGUAAAUUAGUUAUUAUUAGUUAACCCUUUUAUUGUUACUUUUAUCUCUUUCAAAUUUUUUUUAUUUGCCUUUUUGCGUGCCUCCGUCGUUCCUGUUUUGUCUUUUUUACUUGUUUUUUGGGCGCGUCUACUGCUCCUUAUCCUUUGUGUUUUUCCCCUUCUCCCUCUCCCUUUCCUUUCGUUCUUCUUCUUUCCCUGCCUAUUGUUGUAUUUGUCUUUUUUAAAUUAUACUGAUUUUAAAUUUUUAAGUAAUGAGUAGUUACUAUUUUGCAUUUGUUUUUUUUUGCUAUGCCUUAUGUCUAUUGACCCAGGACUCUGAUUGGAUGUACCUCGUUAAUUGCGAUGCCUAUGCCUAGGUACUUUCAAAUACAUAUUUUCACAACUUUAAUAUUGACGUUACGGAACAUUUGCCUUUAAAUGUUAUAUGUAUUUUGGACCGUAUUAACUUGAGUUUGGAAGUUUCCCCGGGUUCAACCUUUAAGCUCCAAGUACAUAGGUAUUUAUUAGUUUAACGCCUUCUGUGUUUACUUUAUCUUUUUUAAAUAAUGUUUCUUAUAUUUUUCCUUGAAUAAGUAGUUUACUUGUUUGUAUUUGUAUUGUUUUGGCGAGGACUAAUGCUAAUGACUUUGGUGUUUAAUAUGAUCAAGCUCAAGUUAAUUAGGUAUUAUUUGUUAAUGCCUCUUAUGUUGUAAUUUCUCUCUUUGAAAUUGUACUUAUUUAAGUUUUAAGUAAUGAGUAGUGGCUAUUUUGAAUUUGUUUUGUUUUGCGAGAAUUUAUGCUAUUGACUAAAGGACUCGAUUGGAUGUACCUCGUUAAUUGCGAUGCCUAUGCCUAGGUACUUUCAAAUACAUAUUUCCACACCUUUAAUUAUUGAGGUACGUAACAUUUGCUUUAAAUGUUGUAUAUGUAUCUUGGACCGUAAUUAACUUGAGUUUGAUGUAUCCCGGGUUCAACUUUAAGCUCAAGUAAAUUAGGUAUUCUUAGUUAACGCCUUAUGUU